CCCUCGCUCCUUCCUUCCCCAGGUACCAGCAGCCCCUGAGGCCGGGGGGCCCGGGGAGGCAGGCGGCCGAUGGCCCGGGCAGAGGCAGCAUCCUGGGGCCAGCCGGGCCGCGGAGCCGGCAGGAGGCGCUGGGGCUGCUGGAGGCAGCGGUUGUGUAUCGGGCAGGGCCACUGGUGGCCGUCAGCAAGCCCCCGGGCCUGGCUGUGACAGGCAGUCCAGGGCAGCUGAGUUUGGUUUCGCUGCUCCCAGAUCUGAGCCAGAGGCUGAGUCUCCCUCCUGAGCUCCAUGUGGUCAAAGCAGCUGGGAAGGACAGCUCUGGCCUCGUGCUUCUCUCCAGCUGCCCUGGCACCACGCAGCAGCUCCAUGCGUUCUUCACGCAGCUCCGGAGAGCAGGGCGCCCCCCCGCCACUUACCGCGCUGUCACUGCCGGGGUCCCAGCUGCCGUGGAGGGGGAGAUCCGCACAGGACUGAAGCUGGAGCAGGUUGGGGACCUGCAGCUGGU